CGGCGACUAAGCCUGCAUUAAUGCCAACUUUUAGCGCACGGCUCUUUCUCUGGAGCCAUUUCCCUGGACCGAAUACAGGAAUCGUAUUCGGUCUCUUUUU
rfam:Klebsiella sp. RIT-PI-d NODE_1_length_2264346_cov_38.3847_ID_1, whole genome shotgun sequence.